AUAUAUAUGUAUACCGGUAUGUAUUUUGUCACACACAUGCGCUUAGGAAGCAAUCAACAAGCCCAAAGGUGAGUGAAACAUCACAUCACAAGGGGUUGAUGUGUGGUACUAAUGUCUUUGUCUCUCUCUGUCAUCAGACAAAAAGAAGAAAAAUAAAUCAGUACUUACAUCUGGGUUCCAAGAUGGUCACUGAGACGUCACUUCUGGCACCUGUUGAUGACAAUACUACUGGCUCCAUCCGAUGACAUCACUUCCGUCCUUACCUCACUUCAGAUCCCCUUUUGAUGAUACAUACUGUAUAUGUGUGUAUGUACUGUAUGGUUCUGCUCCAAGUAUUCAGCGCAGUGGCUGCCAAGGCAGGCUGGGGUAUUUGCUUGCAUUCAAACAUUCAAACAUCACAUGUGUCUGCACAGGACUUUGAUCAAGUGGUGGUGCACAGAAUGGCACCACAGAAGAACCGGAAAAGAAAACAGAGAAAAGUAAAGAUUAAUAAAUAUUGCAGGUUCAUUGAAGAGUAUGAUCAUUCUAUACAAAUCUACUUUAUUAAGGGUAGAACUAAAAUGUAGCCAAGAAAAGGCCAAAUUAGAAAAUUGGGAUUUUUAGGACUUUUUAAAAAUAUUUAUACGGUCUUCACCUGAUACGUCUCUGUUGGUAUAAGUAUUCCAGAUUUUUGGAGCCUAACCGCAAAAGGCUGCCUCACUGCUUAUUUUAUACUUGGUUCUUAGAAUAAUAAGCAGACUGCUAUUAUACAAAGUGGCGGACGGCCAGCAGCUCAUCCCGGCCAGAGAUGGAAGAAUGGGAGAAGACAGCUUUUCCAGGACACUGCCUCCCCCAAAACACUAGAUGGCAGUUCCCCUGGAGUGUAAUGGUGCCCUGGAUUCCCAUUGGGUAUCCUGGAACUUGGAGUGCGGUUUGUCAGCCCUGUUGGCUACCGUGGGUGCCGCCAGGAGGAGCUGAGAGAGGAUUGAAGGAACCAUGUCUCUUCCAUAGCCUGGAAAUACUCCUAAGUCAUGAGGACGGGAGCCCUGAAGUACUUCUGGGAUGAAGUAAAAGCCAAUUCACCAUCUGACCCGGAAGUGCGAGCAAGUCAUAUGGGCAAAAGGGCAGAAGGACUAUAUAAAGGACUAAUGGGGACCCAGCAAGCAAGUGGAAGUUGGAAGGUAGUAGGAAUGAGCUUGCUGGGAGGAGUGGAGGAGAGAUUUGUGCUUUAUUGUAUUUGGAAUAGUGUGUUUAAUUGCCUGUGUAUGAUGGCAGAGGUGCUUCAGGGCACUACAAAAAGAAGAAUAAUAAUUAAAUACCUUCUUAGUGAUUUUA